ACGAACGCUGGCGGCGUGCUUAACACAUGCAAGUCGAACGGAAAGGCCCUGCUUUUGUGGGGUGCUCGAGUGGCGAACGGGUGAGUAACACGUGAGUAACCUGCCCUUGACUUUGGGAUAACUUCAGGAAACUGGGGCUAAUACCGGAUAGGAGCUCCUGCUGCAUGGUGGGGGUUGGAAAGUUUCGGCGGUUGGGGAUGGACUCGCCGCUUAUCAGCUUGUUGGUGGGGUAGUGGCUUACCAAGGCUUUGACGGGUAGCCGGCCUGAGAGGGUGACCGGCCACAUUGGGACUGAGAUACGGCCCAGACUCCUACGGGAGGCAGCAGUGGGGAAUAUUGCACAAUGGGCGGAAGCCUGAUGCAGCAACGCCGCGUGCGGGAUGACGGCCUUCGGGUUGUAAACCGCUUUCGCCUGUGACGAAGCGUGAGUGACGGUAAUGGGUAAAGAAGCACCGGCUAACUACGUG
rnacentral:rRNA from 1 species